rnacentral:rRNA from 1 species
UACAGAGGUCUCAAGCGUUGUUCGGAUUCAUUGGGCGUAAAGGGUGCGUAGGUGGCGCCGUAAGUCAGGUGUGAAAUCUCGGGGCUCAACCCCGAAACUGCACUUGAUACUGCGGUGCUCGAGUACUGGAGAGGAGAUUGGAAUUUACGGUGUAGCAGUGAAAUGCGUAGAUAUCGUAAGGAAGACCAGUGGCGAAGGCGAAUCUCUGGACAGUUCCUGACGCUGAGGCACGAAGGUCAGGGGAGCAAACGGG